rnacentral:rRNA from 1 species
GCAUGUGGUUUAAUUCGAAGCAACGCGAAGAACCUUACCAGGUCUGACAUCCUUGACCACUCUAGAGAUAGAGCUUUCCCUUCGGGGACAAAGUGACAGGUGGUGCAUGGUGUCGUCAGCUCGUGUCGUGAGAUGUUGGGUUAAGUCCCGCAACGAGCGCAACCCUUAUUGUUAGUUGCCAUCAUUAAGUUGGGCACUCUAGCGAGACUGCCGGUGACAAACCGGAGGAAGGUGGGGAUGACGUCAAAUCAUCAUGCCCCUUAUGACCUGGGCUACACACGUGCUACAAUGGACAGUACAAUGAGCAGCGACACGGCGACGUGAAGCGAAUCUCAUAAAGCUGUUCUCAGUUCGGAUUGUAGGCUGCAACUCGCCUACAUGAAGCCGGAAUCGCUAGUAAUCGCGGAUCAGCACGCCGCGGUGAAUACGUUCCCGGGCCUUGUACACACCGCCCGUCACACCACGAAAGUUUGUAACACCCGAAGUCGGUGAGGUAACCGCAAGGAGCCAACCGCCUAAGGUGGGAUAGAUGAUUGGGGUGAAGUCGUAACAAGGUAACCAAGGGCGAAUUCUG